rnacentral:rRNA from 1 species
UCUGGUGCUGAUGCGCUUAGGGGAAACACCCGUUCCCAUCCCGAACACGACGGUUAAGACCUAAGCGGCCGAUGGUACUAUGCUGGAGACGGCAUGGGAGAGCAGGUGGGUGCCAGAU